UCGUUAUACUAACUAUUAUCUACGUACAUAUAAAUAUAUUUUAUGAUAAUUUCAUUUUAUUUCGCGUGAAUUCGUAAUAAUUUAUGUAAAAUAAUUAUUUUUUUUUAUAAAAAAAAUACCAUUACAUCAACCGUGAGUUUUUGUUACCUACUACAGUUUUGGUAACGGGUAAUACACUAAAGUGUACUGCCUACACAAUGCCACCGACAAGGUACGAUAACAAUAAAUUAAUGUCAAAUAAUACAACGCUUGGACUAUUUAGUCCUAAAAAACUAAAGAAAACAAUGAGGUUCAUACAUCAAUAUAAUGUAACUAAUAAUUUUUAUCUUUGUUGUUAUUAUUAUUAUUAUUAUUGAGUGUACACUUAA